rnacentral:rRNA from 1 species
UACAGAGGUCCCAAGCGUUGUUCGGAUUCACUGGGCGUAAAGGGUGCGUAGGUGGUCGGGUAAGUUUGAUGUGAAAGCUCCGAGCUUAACUCGGAAAUGGCAUUGAAUACUAUUCGGCUAGAGGGUUGGAGGGGGGACUGGAAUUCUCGGUGUAGCAGUGAAAUGCGUAGAUAUCGAGAGGAACACCAGUGGCGAAGGCGAGUCCCUGGACAACUCCUGACACUGAGGCACGAAAGCUAGGGGAGCAAACAGG